CUCUAUUGCACCACAGAGCGUGUACAGUAUGGGUAGCAACAGUGCAAGCUUCCCACACUUUGCCCCUCCCAAUGCACCCCAACCCCGGCCAGAAUAGCUCUCUCCACAGAGAG
rnacentral:sRNA from 1 species